UGGGGAAUCUUCCGCAAUGGACGAAAGUCUGACGGAGCAACGCCGCGUGAGUGAUGACGGCCUUCGGGUUGUAAAGCUCUGUUAAUCGGGACGAAUGGCUACCAUGCGAAUAGUUUGGCAGCUUGACGGUACCGGAAUAGAAAGCCACGGCUAACUACGUGCCAGCAGCCGCGGUAAUACGUAGGUGGCAAGCGUUGUCCGGAAUUAUUGGGCGUAAAGCGCGCGCAGGCGGAUCUGCCAGUCUGUCUUAAAAGUUCGGGGCUCAACCCCGUGAUGGGAUGGAAACUACAGAUCUAGAGUAUCGGAGGGGAAAGUGGAAUUCCUAGUGUAGCGGUGAAAUGCGUAGAUAUUAGGAGGAACACCAGUGGCGAAGGCGACUUUCUGGACGAUCACUGACGCUGAGGCGCGAAAGCCAGGGGAGCGAACGGGAUUAGAUACCCCGGUAGUCCUGGCCGUAAACGAUGGGUACUAGGUGUAGGAGGUAUCGACCCCUUCUGUGCCGCAGUUAACGCAGUAAGUACCCCGCCUGGGGAGUACGGCCGCAAGGUUG
rnacentral:rRNA from 1 species